rnacentral:rRNA from 1 species
AGUGAACGCUGGCGGUAGGCCUAACACAUGCAAGUCGAACGGCAGCACAGUAAGAGCUUGCUCUUACGGGUGGCGAGUGGCGGACGGGUGAGGAAUACAUCGGAAUCUACUUUUUCGUGGGGGAUAACGUAGGGAAACUUACGCUAAUACCGCAUACGACCUACGGGUGAAAGCAGGGGAUCUUCGGACCUUGCGCGAUUGAAUGAGCCGAUGUCGGAUUAGCUAGUUGGCGGGGUAAAGGCCCACCAAGGCGACGAUCCGCAGCUGGUCUGAGAGGAUGAUCAGCCACACUGGAACUGAGACACGGUCCAGACUCCUACGGGAGGCAGCAGUGGGGAAUAUUGGACAAUGGGCGCAAGCCUGAUCCAGCCAUACCGCGUGGGUGAAGAAGGCCUUCGGGUUGUAAAGCCCUUUUGUUGAGAAAGAAAAGCAGCAGGUUAAUACCCCGCUGUUCUGACGGUACCCAAAGAAUAAGCACCGGCUAACUUCGUG